GAUGAAGAACGCAGCGAAAUGCGAUAAGUAAUGUGAAUUGCAGAAUUCAGUGAAUCAUCGAAUCUUUGAACGCACCUUGCGCUCCUUGGCAUUCCGAGGAGCAUGCCUGUUUGAGUGUCAUUAAAUUCUCAAGACCUGUCUGCUUUUUUGAUAGGUAUUGGAUUUUGGGGGUUGCAGGCUGUUUCAAAUAAAUAGCCUUGCUCUCCUUGAAUGUAUUAGUGGAGAAAAGCCAUUGAACUCCAUUGGUGUGAUAAAACCUAUCAAUGCCAGGAGCAAUAUCACUACUUCUCUCUGCUGUCUAACUGUGACUGUCUGUAUUAAUUAGUAUGGAUGGGGACAACUUGACAACUUGACCUCAAAUCAGGUAGGACUACCCGCUGAACUUAAGCAUAUCAAUAAGCGGAGGA
rnacentral:misc_RNA from 1 species